ACUUUACUUCAGAAAACAAAAUGUAGUGCUGCUUCUGCUUGGAGAUUAAAGACAACUGUACAGCAGAUUGUGACAUGAAAGAGCCCCUUGGGGCUGCAGUAGCACCCUGGCGUUUCUCUGGAUGUGUCUGGUUUGGGGUCUGAGCACUGAGUUUUAGAAUGGUGACUGGUUCUGUAAAAUGAACACUAUGCUGGGAGUCCAGGCGUCCUGGCCUCAUAGCUCCCCGACCUCCAGCAAAUCCAAAUUGCUGAUUUUUUCUGUACCUUAUUUCUUCCUGAGUUUAGACCUGGCGGGAAUCCUUAGAGAUCAUCUUCUCCAUCCCUCUUAAAUUUACAGAUGAGUAAACUGAAACCCAGAAAGGCUCUUCUGUUAAAACGCUGCUCCAGAGCGACUGCCAUGAUGCAGGAGUGAGGUCCGCUUACGUGGACCACAAGGCUAAAGCUCUCUUCCCAUACAGCCGUGCUGAGGACCCCCAAGCGAGGCUUGUAGACAGAUGUCCCGUCAUCUUGUCUCCAAUUUUUCUCACCUUUGAGGCCUUCAGAUAUAUUUUAAUGGAAUAUAUUUUAAUGAAAAAUUCCUCCAUUUAAAUUAAAAUGAACAUCUAGUAACUUU